rnacentral:rRNA from 1 species
AGCAGUCGCCACGGUAAAACGUAGGUGGCAAGCGUUGUCCGGAAUUAUUGGGCGUAAAGGGCUCGCAGGCGGUUUCUUAAGUCUGAUGUGAAAGCCCCCGGCUCAACCGGGGAGGGUCAUUGGAAACUGGGAAACUUGAGUGCAGAAGAGGAGAGUGGAAUUCCACGUGUAGCGGUGAAAUGCGUAGAGAUGUGGAGGAACACCAGUGGCGAAGGCGACUCUCUGGUCUGUAACUGACGCUGAGGAGCGAAAGCGUGGGGAGCGAACAGGAUUAGAUACCCGGGUAGUCCCUGUCUCUUAUAC